rnacentral:rRNA from 1 species
UACAGAGGGGGCAAGCGUUAUUCGGAAUUAUUGGGCGUAAAGGGCGCGUAGGCGGCUUUUCAAGUGACGGGUGAAAUCCCUCGGCUUAACCGAGGAACUGCCUGUCAGACUGGAAGGCUUGAGACCGGGAGAGGUGAGUGGAAUUCCCAGUGUAGCGGUGAAUGCGUAGAUAUUGGGAGGAACACCAGUGGCGAAGGCGGCUCACUGGACCGGAACUGACGCUGAGGCGCGAAAGCGUGGGGAGCAAACAGG